UGGAAAGCUUCUUUAACGACCCCAUUUGAUCCCUAAGACAAUGGACUUGAUUUUUGUCAAUCGGUGAUAUAUCCACUUCUAGUGUGUGCCAAGCUUCGUAUGCUGUCGCACAAGGUAUCACCAAGAGCUGAAUCUCAGGCGAGAUUGUGGCUUUAAUCCAAGAAAGCACAAUCCCAUCGUUCAUCACAUGCUUCUCAUAUUCUGGAUUUUCGGUGCCAUCUUCAAGUUUUGGGGCAGGAGUCACCAAC
rnacentral:lncRNA from 1 species